GGAAUUUUCCGCAAUGGGCGAAAGCCUGACGGAGCAACGCCGCGUGAGGGAUGAAGGCCUCUGGGCUGUAAACCUCUUUUCUCAAGGAAGAAGAACUGACGGUACUUGAGGAAUAAGCCACGGCUAAUUCCGUGCCAGCAGCCGCGGUAAUACGGGAGUGGCAAGCGUUAUCCGGAAUUAUUGGGCGUAAAGCGUCCGCAGGCGGCCCUGUAAGUCUGUCGUUAAAGCGUGGAGCUUAACUCCAUUUGAGCGAUGGAAACUACAGGGCUUGAGUGUGGUAGGGGCAGAGGGAGUUCCCGGUGUAGCGGUGAAAUGCGUAGAUAUCGGGAAGAACACCAGUGGCGAAGGCGCUCUGCUGGGCCAUAACUGACGCUCAUGGACGAAAGCCAGGGGAGCGAAAGGGAUUAGAUACCCCUGUAGUCCUGGCCGUAAACGAUGAACACUAGGUGUCGGGGGGAUCGACCCCCUCGGUGUCGUAGCCAACGCGUUAAGUGUUCCGCCUGGGGAGUACACACGCAAGUGUGAAACUCAAAGGAAUUGACGGA
rnacentral:rRNA from 1 species